rnacentral:rRNA from 1 species
AUUGAACGCUGGCGGCAGGCUUAACACAUGCAAGUCGAGCGAGCGGCGGACGGGUGAGUAAUGUCUGGGAAACUGCCUGAUGGAGGGGGAUAACUACUGGAAACGGUAGCUAAUACCGCAUACCAUCAGAUGUGCCCAGGUGGGAUUAGUUAGGAGGUGGGGUAAUGGCUCACCUAGGCGACGCUCCCUAGCUGGUCUGAGAGGAUGACCGGCCACACUGUAACUGAGACACGGUCCAGACUCCUACGGGAGGCAGCAGUGGGGAAUAUUGCACAAUGGGCGAAAGCCUGAGGCAGCCAGGCCGCGUGUGUGAAGAAGGCCUUCGGGUUGUAAAGCACUUUCGGCGAGGAGGCGUUACUCGCAGAAGAAGCACCGGCUAACUCCGUGCCAGCAGCCGCGGUAAUUC